rnacentral:lncRNA from 1 species
CGACGGAGAUGGUGGCAUGCAUGAGCUGAGGAACUAAGACAUAUUUUCAAUUGUUUGUAACUUUAUUUCUUCAUUCACACUAAACCUAUCUAAUUUCACUAUAAACUUUAAAGUUAUCAUGUUGGCCUCCUUGAGUCCAGCUCAAAAAAAUUUUUCGAGCUUCGAGUCAGGUUUAGGGUCUAGAAUUCAAUUGUCAAGCUACUCCGACCGUCGUCGGAGUAGAUGA